AUUGAACGCUGGCGGCAGGCUUAACACAUGCAAGUCGAGCGGAGAUGAGGUGCUUGCACCUUAUCUUAGCGGCGGACGGGUGAGUAAUGCUUAGGAAUCUGCCUAUUAGUGGGGGACAACAUUCCGAAAGGAACGCUAAUACCGCAUACGUCCUACGGGAGAAAGCAGGGGAUCUUCGGACCUUGCGCUAAUAGAUGAGCCUAAGUCGGGUUAGCUAGUUGGUGGGGUAAAGGCCUACCAAGGCGACGAUCUGUAGCGGGUCUGAGAGGAUGAUCCGCCACACUGGGACUGAGACACGGCCCAGACUCCUACGGGAGGCAGCAGUGGGGAAUAUUGGACAAUGGGGGGAACCCUGAUCCAGCCAUGCCGCGUGUGUGAAGAAGGCCUUAUGGUUGUAAAGCACUUUAAGCGAGGAGGAGGCUACUGAGACUAAUACUCUUGGAUAGUGGACGUUACUCGCAGAAUAAGCACCGGCUAACUCUGUGCCAGCAGCCGCCGUAAGAC
rnacentral:rRNA from 1 species